rnacentral:lncRNA from 1 species
CCAUCGCAAAAAUCAAUGCUUAUCGGUCAUUGAGGAGCUAGAUAGGAGGGAGGAAAGUAGAGGACUGGCAGGGGAAGAGAGGGUGAGACGAGGAGAAUUAAGGGAAGAAUUGGAGAGGCUGGUGGAGAUGGAGGAGACUACUUUGAGUUAGAAAUCUAGGAUCCAGUGGUUGAAAGAGGGGGACAAAUGCACACGUUUUUUCCAUAGGGUCGUGAACUCCAAUAGGCGCAACAAUUCUAUUAAUAUGUUGAAGGGAGAUGGCGUUACUUUUGAGGAUCCACAGGAGAUCGGGACCCAGAUGGUAAGCUUCUAUCAGAACCUGUAUCAGGAGCAGUUUGAUUGGAGGCCAGAAUUGGAAGGGCUUGAGUUUUCUUCUAUAUCUGAGGAGGAUGCCAGCUGGUUAGAGAGGCCUUUUGGGGAGGAUGAAAUUAGGGAGGUGGUGUUCAGCAUGAAUGAUGAUAAGGCGCCAGGACAGGACAAAUUUUCGUUCUCAUUCUAUAAGACUUGUUGGGAAGUGGUGCGAUCGGACAUUGUCGAAGUCCUUACUUAUUUCUUUCAAUGUGGAAGGUUCUUGAGUGCCAAUGCUAUAUUUAUUGUGCUGAUUCCAAAGAAAUCUGGAGCGAUGAAUAUUAAAUACUUUCGUCCUAUUAGCCUUGUGAGCGGAGUUUACAAGAUUAUUGCGAAGAUUUUGGCAAAUAGAUUGAAGUAGGUGCUGGGAAAAGUGGUGUCCAAGUUUCAGAAUGCUUUCGUUAAAGGACGCCAGAUUUUGGAUUCAGUACUUAUAGCAAAUGAAUGCAUUGACUCAAGACUGCGCCUGAGUUUUCC